rnacentral:rRNA from 1 species
UACGUAGGGUGCAAACGUUGUCCGGAAUUAUUGGGCGUAAAGAGCUCGUAGGCGGUUUGUCGCGUCUGCUGUGAAAACUCGGGGCUUAACUCCGGGCCUGCAGUGGGUACGGGCAGACUAGAGUGCGGUAGGGGAGACUGGAAUUCCUGGUGUAGCGGUGAAAUGCGCAGAUAUCAGGAGGAACACCGGUGGCGAAGGCGGGUCUCUGGGCCGUAACUGACGCUGAGGAGCGAAAGCGUGGGGAGCGAACAGG